rfam:Stegodyphus mimosarum contig40946, whole genome shotgun sequence.
GCCUUCGUGGUGUAGCGGUCAGCACGCUCGACGCGUAUCGAGAGGUAAGUGGUUCGAGUCCUGGCGAGGGCA